rnacentral:rRNA from 1 species
UACAGAGGUCUCAAGCGUUGUUCGGAUUCAUUGGGCGUAAAGGGUGCGUAGGUGGCGUCGUAAGUCAGGUGUGAAAUCUCGGAGCUUAACUCCGAAACUGCAUUCGAUACUGCCGUGCUUGAGGACUGGAGAGGAGACUGGAAUUCCACGUGUAGCAGUGAAAUGCGUAGAGAUGUGGAGGAACACCGAUGGCGAAGGCAGCCUUCUGGGCCAACACUGACGCUCAUGCACGAAAGCGUGGGGAGCAAACAGG